rnacentral:rRNA from 1 species
UGCCAGCAGCCGCGGUAAUACCAGCACCUCAAGUGGUCAGGAUGAUUAUUGGGCCUAAAGCAUCCGUAGCCGGCUCUGUAAGUUUUCGGUUAAAUCUGUACGCUCAACGUACAGGCUGCCGGGAAUACUGCAGAGCUAGGGAGUGGGAGAGGUAGACGGUACUCGGUAGGAAGGGGUAAAAUCCUUUGAUCUAUUGAUGACCGCCUGUGGCGAAGGCGGUCUACCAGAACACGUCCGACGGUGAGGGAUGAAAGCUGGGGGAGCAAACCGGAUUAGAUA